GAUGAACGCUGGCGGCGUGCUUAACACAUGCAAGUCGAACGAUGAAGCCCAGCUUGCUGGGUGGAUUAGUGGCGAACGGGUGAGUAACACGUGAGUAACCUGCCCUUGACUCUGGGAUAAGCCUGGGAAACUGGGUCUAAUACUGGAUAUGACUUCUCAUCGCAUGGUGGGGGGUGGAAAGAUUUAUUGGUCUUGGAUGGACUCGCGGCCUAUCAGCUUGUUGGUGAGGUAAUGGCUCACCAAGGCGACGACGGGUAGCCGGCCUGAGAGGGUGACCGGCCACACUGGGACUGAGACACGGCCCAGACUCCUACGGGAGGCAGCAGUGGGGAAUAUUGCACAAUGGGCGCAAGCCUGAUGCAGCGACGCCGCGUGAGGGAUGACGGCCUUCGGGUUGUAAACCUCUUUCAGUAGGGAAGAAGCGAGAGUGACGGUACCUGAAGAAGAAGCGCCGGCUAACUACGUG
rnacentral:rRNA from 1 species